UUUUUUUUUUUUUUUUUACUGAGAAGGGGCUUUCUGCAUAGACCAAAACAGUUUAAAGGAAUCCUUAUCAUCAACGUGCCAUCAAGGAGGAGGCAGACAUUAUUUUGGAUUCACACAUUUUAAGAUUUUUUACCGUUAGUUCAACAAGCUGCAAUUGACAAUCCUAGGACAAGUAGCUGACAGAGCUCAUUGUGAAAGCUGGAAAUAUCCUCAUGCAGCUCGACUUCUCUGCCACUAUGGAGGAAACAUGGGACAAGGUUAGAUAGAGGACUGAGAAUCAAGAGCGCAACAGAAAGUCGGUGUGGCCUUGGAAAGAAGAAAACAUUUUCUUUUGUUUGUGAGCCAGGCCUGCAGAAGGGAAUGAGAAGAACCCCCCCGAACUUAGAAGUGGGAGUAAUUUUUCUUCACCAGCAGGGAUGGAGAGACUACAUUAUCAUCC